UAAAUCCACUGCAUGUGAAACUGGUCUAAGUAACUGAAAAGCAAGUAUAAUGCCAAAACACAAGAUCCAUUUCAUGAAGAGAAAGGAAACAAAAAGGUAAAAAACACAGGAAACACAAGUUAUUUUAUACAGUUAAGAACUAGAACACUAAUCUAACGAUCUACCCACAAGUUUCAAAAUUCUUGGUGACAGAGCAACUGUGUUGUACUUUGUCAAAAACAAGUAAGUUUAAUAAAGCUACAAGCAAACAUUUGAAUUCUCUGUGAUACAAAAGUUUUAAUGGGCACUUGUGGAUAGAUUAUGUCAAUUUGUGAAGAAAAUGUAUUUUUUCAAUCUCACAUGUUUUUCCCACCACUGAGCUGCUGGUUUAUUUCACUUGCAGGAUAAAUAUCAGUAGUUUUAAGCUAUGCUGCUUUUCUUCUGUUCUAGCUGUCCUGACAGUUUACUGUUGCUGCACAUGCUAGAGGUCCUAAGGUCAUUUCCAAAUACAGUAUUAAAUAAAAUACUGGUAAUUCCAUACUGCGUGCCUUUCAAAAAACAAAUGAUCACACAUUCAUGUUGUUGUAGAUAAAUACUGCGUUAUAACUUUAUAAAUAUUAACAUAAAAGCUUGGUACUAAGUAUACAUAAGCUACCUAAAUAUACAAACUAAAUUAAUUGAUCAGCUAGUCUAAAGAAUGAAAAGAUGGGUCAGAAAGCUAGUCUGUGUGCUAAAAAUUAGCUUUGGGAUAUGUGUAAAGCACACCAUGUCCCUGCUAUUUUCCAGGCUUCUGAAUGCUCUGCAAUGGCCAUAGUUCUGCAAUUCCUGUACUUUCUCCAUAGGAAUGGCUGGCCAGUGGAUCCGCAGUUGCAUGUCAUCCUACCUGGCUCUGAAACUAUUCCUGUGAGAAAGUGUAACUGUGCCCUCCAGACAGCAUUGCUUCACCCAUGAGAUGCAGACAACCUGUGUAACCUCUUCAAAUCCUGUCCUAUUCCUUUCCACAGCAACCACAUUGGUUCCAUGUAUCUCAGGAACAGGAUAUGCCUCUUAAUGCAGCAGAGAGAUGUUUUCCAAAGCCUGGAGACUGAAUGAGCUCUGCUUUGAAAGAGCUGUGUGGUAACUUGUAACCACUAAUAAGAACACUAACCACUGAUAAGAACAUUGUCCUUGUCGAGAAAGCAGAGAGAAAGAGUUAGACACUGGCCAGACAUGCUUGCCGAGAAUCACAAUGCAACUACAGGCAGCUGCAGCCUAAAAUCCUGGUCAGAAGAUGGUGGGGAUGCAGACCCCUGAUCAGAGGAGAGCUGAAGGCUAAAGGCCUGAGACCUGAGAAGGCAUUCCUUCAGAAGACCACAGACAGGAAUUAAAGAAGGAUCACAUAUCAGCUUGUACAACUCAGUGCAAAUUGGACUUGGAUCCAUUGAAACACAUAAAUGGGUACUGAACUUUUGAGCCUCUGAAUAGUUUCAUUGGCUUCAGUGGGACUACUCACAUGCUUGGAGACAAGCAUAUGCUUAGGUCAAUUCCUGUAGAAGAUCUGCAGAAAGUUCCAAGAGCAGCAAAAUCAGCACUGAGUGCAAGUCCCAGCUGCAGAGAUGCUACAUAGGACAACUUAGUCCCUGUCCUGCGUGCCAUAGAACAAUGAUAUGUGGUAUGAUAUGCAGAGUUACCACAUAUCACUGAGAUUUUGAAAGCAGGGGCAUGAGCAGCAAUUCCAUGACUUGCCAACUUCAACUGGCGGAGAGUUCAAAGGCUGUGGCAGUUGCUGAAGUAGCAAAGUGAGCACCUCCACUGGUGCUAUACAGCUUAGGAAGGAACAAGAUUCUGUCCUCCCGGAUCCUCACAGAAAACUCCCAAAACAAAGCUCAUUUACUUACACUUUCCACAGGAAUGAACAUUUGGCCUACUGUCUAUCAGGAAGCCCAGUACUCUGCACUCAGCUCUGCUAGCUCUCACAGCAUUUCUUUCUGAAACGCUGAAAGAGUAGUGAGGCCUCUCAUGCUGCAAACCUGUUUUUUUACUGUUACACAAGUAUUUUGUAGGGGAAAAUUAGAAAAUAAAUUGUUUUGGGAAAUAAAUCUUAAUGAUGUGAAUGCAGGCAGGCUGAUCCUUUUUUGCUGGGUCAUUUUCAAUUUGGCCGUUACGAAGAGAGAAAUCAUAUAUAGAGGAGUCAGUACAAAAUAAUCCUGGGUUAUAUUUUUGGCAAGAACUAAACAACGACUAUAGUUAACCACGAUUAUCCAAAUUUCAAUCAUCUGACUUUGGGUUCCUUGCUCCUGUGUCUAUCACUCACACAGACAGUGUUCUGAUUAUCCAAAAUUAUUCAAUAUCCUUCAUUAGAUUUGAAUAGUUCAAGCUGAAUUGUAGUAUUCCUCUUCCCACACCUACUACAGCUCACCUACACAUCAUUUUGUGAAACUUCUCCAGAAAGGCCAGCUUUACAGUCUGAGAAACACUGUUUCAGGAAUAUUAAAAUGAGAAGUGGUGAGUGCAAGAAGAGAAUACUGAAACAAGGAGUGCCCCAAUGAAAAAGGUUGAGGCUCUUUUAGAACAUAAGCGUUGAGUGACAGGACGUUCUGCUCCGCUGGAAUGUUAGUGCAUUUGACUAUAAGUGUGUUUUUGCACAGAAAAAAAAUUAAAACAAGAAAACAUUUAAUCAAGACACCUGCAUUUCUGAAAAAAAGUUAAACAGGUCUGUGCAUACCACCUGUGUUUGCAUUUCCGGAAAAUGGAAUACAAAAGAGGGACAUGAACUGAGUUGUUAAUAAUCAGGGGGUAGCUGUGUUUUUGUGGACACAGACUAACAACAAGG